rnacentral:rRNA from 1 species
CUACGGGCCGCAGCAGUGGGGAAUAUUGCACAAUGGAGGAAACUCUGAUGCAGCAACGCCGCGUGGAGGAUGACACUUUUCGGAGCGUAAACUCCUUUUAUAUAGGAAGAAGAUGACGGUACUAUAUGAAUAAGCGCCGGCUAACUCCGUGCCAGCAGCCGCGGUAAUACGGAGGGCGCAAGCGUUACUCGGAAUCACUGGGCGUAAAGAGCGUGUAGGCGGAUUAAAAAGUCAGAAGUGAAAUCCUAUAGCUUAACUAUAGAACUGCUUCUGAAACUCUUAAUCUAGAAUAUGGGAGAGGUAGAUGGAAUUUCUGGUGUAGGGGUAAGAUCCGUAGAGAUCAGAAGGAAUACCGAUUGCGAAGGCGAUCUACUAGAACAUUAUUGACGCUGAGAUGCGAAAGCGUGGGGAGCAAACAGGAUUAGAUACCCGGGUAGUC